AACGGCGUCGAGCGGCGGACGGGUGAGUAAUGCCUAGGAAAUUGCCCUGAUGUGGGGGAUAACCAUUGGAAACGAUGGCUAAUACCGCAUGAUGCCUACGGGCCAAAGAGGGGGACCUUCGGGCCUCUCGCGUCAGGAUAUGCCUAGGUGGGAUUAGCUAGUUGGUGAGGUAAGGGCUCACCAAGGCGACGAUCCCUAGCUGGUCUGAGAGGAUGAUCAGCCACACUGGAACUGAGACACGGUCCAGACUCCUACGGGAGGCAGCAGUGGGGAAUAUUGCACAAUGGGCGCAAGCCUGAUGCAGCCAUGCCGCGUGUGUGAAGAAGGCCUUCGGGUUGUAAAGCACUUUCAGUCGUGAGGAAGGCGGUGUAGUUAAUAGCUGCAUUAUUUGACGUUAGCGACAGAAGAAGCACCGGCUAACUCCGUGCCAGCAGCCGCGGUAAUACGGAGGGUGCGAGCGUUAAUCGGAAUUACUGGGCGUAAAGCGCAUGCAGGUGGUUUGUUAAGUCAGAUGUGAAAGCCCGGGGCUCAACCUCGGAAUUGCAUUUGAAACUGGCAGACUAGAGUACUGUAGAGGGGGGUAGAAUUUCAGGUGUAGCGGUGAAAUGCGUAGAGAUCUGAAGGAAUACCGGUGGCGAAGGCGGCCCCCUGGACAGAUACUGACACUCAGAUGCGAAAGCGUGGGGAGCAAACAGGAUUAGAUACCCUGGUAGUCCACGCCGUAAACGAUGUCUACUUGGAGGUUGUGGCCUUGAGCCGUGGCUUUCGGAGCUAACGCGUUAAGUAGACCGCCUGGGGAGUACGGUCGCAAGAUUAAAACUCAAAUGAAUUGACGGGGGCCCGCACAAGCGGUGGAGCAUGUGGUUUAAUUCGAUGCAACGCGAAGAACCUUACCUACUCUUGACAUCCAGAGAACUUUCCAGAGAUGGAUUGGUGCCUUCGGGAACUCUGAGACAGGUGCUGCAUGGCUGUCGUCAGCUCGUGUUGUGAAAUGUUGGGUUAAGUCCCGCAACGAGCGCAACCCUUAUCCUUGUUUGCCAGCGAGUAAUGUCGGGAACUCCAGGGAGACUGCCGGUGAUAAACCGGAGGAAGGUGGGGACGACGUCAAGUCAUCAUGGCCCUUACGAGUAGGGCUACACACGUGCUACAAUGGCGCAUACAGAGGGCAGCCAACUUGCGAAAGUGAGCGAAUCCCAAAAAGUGCGUCGUAGUCCGGAUUGGAGUCUGCAACUCGACUCCAUGAAGUCGGAAUCGCUAGUAAUCGUGGAUCAGAAUGCCACGGUGAAUACGUUCCCGGGCCUUGUACACACCGCCCGUCACACCAUGGGAGUGGGCUGCAAAAGAAGUAGGUAGUUUA
rnacentral:rRNA from 1 species